CUUACUGGGGAAAGGAGAGACCAAGGGCUGCUUCAUGAAGGCUGUUUCUGAGCUGAGCUUUGAACAAUAGCAUGAUGAGGGUAGGCGGAGGUGGGAGUCAGGGAAGAGGACUCACCACUGCUGGAGCUGACAGCUGAGGAGUCAUGGGAAGAAAGGGAGGAUAGAACAGAAGGCCAUGAAGUAGUGACUGAUGAGACUGGAAAGCUGAGCUGGUGAGAGUGAGGAAGAGCCUUCAAGGGAGGGUGUGACUUUAUUUUCUAUGGUGCAAUUCAGGUAUUGGGAGUCUCUCCAGAUGCAACACAUCUUACAGCACAACUUUAAUAUGAUUCGUUUGGCAAUAGUAUAAAGAUUCCCUCUCUGCCCUGCACCAGUGGGCAGAAAUUUCAAUGAUAAAAGAGGAUGAAAACCUCAAUAUGUGACCCAUGGGAAAGAUAGAGAUGGAAUCAUACUCAGGAGAGAUGUGUUAAGCUCGAUGCACAACACAGAAAUUAAAAGCAGUCUCUAUUUUGAUGUUCAUUCUUGACCACCUUCACAUCCAUUUCAGCUAUUCCAAACUGUGGCGGUUACCUGGAUACCUUGGAAGGAUCCUUCACCAGCCCCAAUUACCCAAAGCCGCAUCCUGAGCUGGCUUAUUGUGUGUGGCACAUACAAGUGGAGAAAGAUUACAAGAUAAAACUAAACUUCAAAGAGAUUUUAGGCCCUCAUUCUCUAGCCUAGAAAUAGACAAACAGUGCAAAUUUGAUUUUCUUGCCAUCUAUGAUGGCCCCUCCACCAACUCUGGCCUGAUUGGACAAGUCUGUGGCCGUGUGACUCCCACCUUCGAAUCGUCAUCAAACUCUCUGACUGUCGUGUUGUCUACAGAUUAUGCCAAUUCUUACCGGGGCUUUUCUGCUUCCUACACCUCAAUUUAUGCAGAAAACAUCAACACUACAUCUUUAACUUGCUCUUCUGACAGGAUGAGAGUUAUUAUAAGCAAAUCCUACCUAGAGGCUUUUAACUCUAAUGGGAAUAACUUACAACUAAAAGACCCAACUUGCAGACCAAAAUUAUCAAAUGUUGUGGAAUUUUCUAUCCCUCUUAAUGGAUGUGGUACAAUCAGAAAGGUAGAAGAUCAGUCAAUUACUUACACCAAUAUAAUCACCUUUUCUGCAUCCUCAACUUCUGAAGUGAUCACCCGUCAGAAACAACUCCAGAUUAUUUUGAAGUGUGAAAUGGGACAUAAUUCUACAGUGGAGAUAAUAUACAUAACAGAAGAUGAUGUAAUACAAAGUCAAAAUGCACUGGGCAAAUAUAACACCAGCAUGGCUCUUUUUGAAUCCAAUUCAUUUGAAAAGACUAUACUUGAAUCACCAUAUUAUGUGGAUUUGAACCAAACUCUUUUUGUUCAAGUUAGUCUGCACACCUCAGAUCCAAAUUUGGUGGUGUUUCUUGAUACCUGUAGAGCCUCUCCCACCUCUGACUUUGCAUCUCCAACCUACGACCUAAUCAAGAGUGGAUGUAGUCGAGAUGAAACUUGUAAGGUGUAUCCCUUAUUUGGACACUAUGGGAGAUUCCAGUUUAAUGCCUUUAAAUUCUUGAGAAGUAUGAGCUCUGUGUAUCUGCAGUGUAAAGUUUUGAUAUGUGAUAGCAGUGACCACCAGUCUCGCUGCAAUCAAGGUUGUGUUUCCAGAAGCAAACGAGACAUUUCUUCAUAUAAAUGGAAAACAGAUUCCAUCAUAGGACCCAUUCGUCUGAAAAGGGAUCGAAGUGCAAGUGGCAAUUCAGGAUUUCAGCAUGAAACACAUGCGGAAGAAACUCCAAACCAGCCUUUCAACAGUCUGCAUCUGUUUUCCUUCAUGGUUCUAGCUCUGAAUGUGGUGAUUGUAGCGACAAUCACAGUGAGGCAUUUUGUAAAUCAACGGGCAGACUACAAAUACCAGAAGCUGCAGAACUAUUAACUAACAGGUCCAACCCUAAGUGAGACACGUUUCUCCAGGAUGCCAAAGGAAAUGCUACCUCGUGGCUACACGUAUUAUGAAUAAAUGAGGAAGGGCCUGAAAGUGACACACAGGCCUGCA
rnacentral:sRNA from 1 species